GAUGAACGCUAGCUACAGGCUUAACACAUGCAAGUCGAGGGGCAGCAUGAACAUAGCUUGCUAUGUUUGAUGGCGACCGGCGCACGGGUGCGUAACAGGUGUGCAAUCUGUCCAUAAUCGGGGAAUAGCCCAGCGAAAGUUGGAUUAAUGCUCCAUGUGAGCCGAGGAGGCAUCUCUUUGGUUUGAAACGUAAGGAUUAUGGGUGAGCACGCUUCUGAUUAGGUAGUUGGUGAGGUAACGGCUCACCAAGCCGACGAUCAGUAGGGGUUCUGAGAGGAAGGUCCCCCACAUUGGAACUGAGACACGGUCCAAACUCCUACGGGAGGCAGCAGUGAGGAAUAUUGGUCAAUGGACGGAAGUCUGAACCAGCCAAGUCGCGUGAAGGAUGAAGGUUCUAUGGAUUGUAAACUUCUUUUGUCUGAGGGUAAAAAAGCGGAACGUGUCCGUUCUUGCAAGUAUCAGACGAAUAAGCAUCGGCUAACUCCG
rnacentral:rRNA from 1 species